AAUGGCCCGGUGAUGGGAACCAGCCUUAACCAAUCAGAAUGAAGUAAACAGGUGUAUCAAUCAUAUAGUAAUAAGUAACCUGUGUGAUGUCAAUCAUGUAAUGCUGAGAACCAGUCUGUAAGAAAGAGAAUAAAAGCAGCGGUCUGGGACUAUACCAGGAUGCCUCACUGCAGCUUUGUCUCGUCUCUGUUUCCCGAUACAACAUCUGGUGACCCCGACACAGGACCCCCGACUCAUCGGCUGGCUUAGCCUUGGUGCACCACAGCGCAACGCGCUUCCUCAUUGCUGCAGUAUUACAACACAUUCGAACCCACAAGCCGACCCUUUUUAUCUAGAGCCCAGCGCCAUUAUAGACAGACCGAGCCCCUUCCGGCGCCGAAGGUGAUAUAUCGCAAGUUGCCAGGACCAGAGUGGAGCCUGCCUGUGCCACUCAUCACCUGGGGCCGGGGCUACGCAGCAGUGUCAACUGAUACCGGCCCUGUGUGGGUUCCCACUCGCUUUGUGAAGCCGUGGAGAGAUGGCCUGGCAUCAGGGGCUAAAGAAUCCCAUUCCGGAUUUCAGUCUAACCCUGACGGAUAGGGCAGACAAGAUCGACAAGGCCCGAAAGCGUGGCACACCUAACACUGCCAUAACUUGGGGGCAGGUCAAAGCUUUAUCACGGCAGGCUGAAUAUGUAUUAGAGCGGCUAUAGAUUAUUUACUUAUGCUGCAUCAUUAUGGAUGUGAAAAGGUUAAUGAUAUGUGUUGCUUUAAUAUUUCUGAUCAUCAUCAUUCAGUUGAAAAUCAACUCAAGAUAAUUAAAAAUUUAACAGAUCAAAUCAGAUACAAUCCAGACCCCUUCUCGGGAUGGUGGGAUUGGCUCUCCUCAUGGCUUCCUAACACUGGGUGGUUGCAUCAGCUUGUCAUCUUUGGGGGACUCACUGUACUAUUACUCGUGCUGUUUUGCUGUGGCAUUCAGUGUGUCCCUUCAUUUUUUUCUCUCUUCAUUAAGGGCUGUCCGUGGACUAACCCAGAGCCCCCUCGUAAGUAUUAGUCAUGUUAACAAAACAAAAAAGGGUGAGAUGUAGGUACAAGUGCUGGCAAGCCACACUGUCUGUGCAUUGAACCGUUCAUUAGAAAAGUAUAGUAUGCACUUUCUGCUAUGCUAGCUUAGUCACACAAGACAAUGGCCCGGUGAUGGGAACCAGCCUUAACCAAUCAGAAUGAAGUAAA